rnacentral:rRNA from 1 species
CUACGGGUCGCUCCAGUUAGGAAUAAUCUACAAUGCGCGCAAGCGUGAUAGUUUGAGUCAGAGUGCGUUUCAAUUUGGAAUGCUUUUGCCAAGUCUAAAAAGCUUGGCGAAUAAGGACUGGGUCAAGACUAGUGCCAGCCGCCGCGGUAAUACUAGCGGUCCAAGUCGCAGCCAUUUUUAUUGGGUCUAAAACAUCCGUAGCUUGCUUCUUAAGUUCCUUGUGAAAUUUUGUAUCUCAAAUACAGAGCGGGCAGGGAGUACUGGGAAGCUAGAGACUGGAAGACGUAACGAGUACGAUUAAAGUAAUGGUAAAAUAUGUUAAUCUUAAUCGGACUAACAAUAGCGAAGGCACGUUACGAGGACAGUUCUGACAGUCAGGGAUGAAGGCUAGGGGCGCAAAACGGAUUAGAUACCCGAGUAGUC